UACGUAGGUGGCAAGCGUUGUCCGGAUUUACUGGGCGUAAAGGGCGUGCAGGCGGUUUGUUAAGUGCAGGGUGAAAGCUCCCGGCUCAACUGGGAGAGGUCCUUGCAUACUGGCAAACUCGAGGGAGGCAGAGGAAAGUGGAAUUCCCGGUGUAGUGGUGAUAUGCGUAGAUAUCGGGAGGAACACCUGUGGCGAAGGCGGCUUUCCGGGCCUUACCUGACGCUGAGACGCGAAAGCGUGGGGAGCGAACCGG
rnacentral:rRNA from 1 species